rnacentral:rRNA from 1 species
GUUAGGAAUAUUGGACAAUGGGCGCAAGCCUGAUCCAGCCAUGCCGCGUGAGUGAUGAUGGCCUUCGGGUUGUAAAGCUCUUUAGUCCACGAAUAUAAUGACUGUAGUGGAAGAAUACGCCCCGGCUAACUUCGUGCCAGCAGCCGCGGUAAUACGAAGGGGGCGAGCGUUAUUCGGAAUCACUGGGCGUAAAGCGUGCGUAGGCUGUUUUGUAAGUCAGAAGUGAAAGCCCAGGGCUUAACCCUGGAAUUGCUUUUGAAACUACAAGACUCGAAUUCGGGAGAGGAUAGCGGAAUUGUCAGUGUAGCAGUGAAAUGCGUAGAUAUUGACAGGAACACCAGUGGCGCAAGCGGCUAUCUGGACCGAUAUUGACGCUGAGGCACGAAAGCGUGGGGAGCAAACAGGAUUAGAAACCCCUGUAGUCC